UACGUAGGGGGCAAGCGUUAAUCGGAAUUACUGGGCGUAAAGCGUGCGCAGGCGGUUUUGUAAGCCAGAUGUGAAAGCCCCGGGCUUAACCUGGGAAUGGCAUUUGGGACUGCAAGGCUGGAGUACGGCAGAGGGAGGUGGAAUUCCAGGUGUAGCAGUGAAAUGCGUAGAUAUCUGGAGGAACACCGAUGGCGAAGGCAGCCUCCUGGGCUAGUACUGACGCUCAUGCACGAAAGCGUGGGGAGCAAACAGG
rnacentral:rRNA from 1 species